GAAAUGCGAUACGUAUCAUGAAUUGCAGAACUCUGAAUGAUAAAUGUUUGAACGCACAUUGCGCCAAUCUCUUGGUUGGCAUGUCUGUCUGAGAAUCUUAAAGCUCCCUUCAAACACGUGUUGUUUGGCCAUUGAUAGCAUUCAUUGUUUUUUUUAAAACAAUGAGCUAUUGAAAUUGAUAAUCAAACG
rnacentral:misc_RNA from 1 species